rnacentral:rRNA from 1 species
CCUACGGGUGGCAGCAGUGGGGAAUAUUGCACAAUGGGGGAAACCCUGAUGCAGCGACGCCGCGGGAGUGAAGAAGUAAUUCGUUAUGUAAAGCUCUAUCAGCAGGGAAGAAAAUGACGGUACGUGAGUAAGAAGCCCCGGCUAACUACGUGCCAGCAGCCGCGGUAAUACGUAGGGGGCAAGCGUUAUCCGGAUUUACUGGGUGGAAAGGGGGCGUAGACGGCAGUGCAAGUCUGGAGUGAAAGGCGGGGGCUCAACCCCCGGACUGCUCUGGAAACUGUACGGCGGGAGUGCAGGAGAGGUAAGUGGAAUUCCUAGUGUAGCGGUGAAAUGCGUAGAUAUUAGGAAGAACACCAGUGGCGAAGGCGGCUUACUGGACUGUAACUGACGUUGAGGCUCGAAAGCGUGGGGAGCGAACAGGAUUAGAUACCCCUGUAGUC